ensembl:lncRNA
UGUGCAGCAGGGUCAACAACAGUAUCUUCAGUCCCUGGAAAGCAUUUUCUUGUUGAAUUUUUGUAUUCCUGGCAAUCACCACUGCUAACCUUCUCCUAAACAUGGCUUACUGGCACAGGUUGCCCAGAGAAGCUAUGGAUAUUCCAUCCCUGGAGGGAAUCAAGGAGGGGGCCCUGAGCAGCCUGAUCUAGUGAGUGGCAACCCUGACCAUGGUAGGGAGGUGGAAAGGGAUGGACUUUAAGGUCCCUAAACCAUUGUGUGAGUCUGUGAUUUUAUGUGUGACCUCACAGGGACCUCACCUCAGCAAGCAGGCUGUCACUCACUCUCCGUUUCCUUUCUGUAAACUCUCUUCAGCAUUUCUUCUGCAGUAAACAGGAUGACUUCCCUAAUGGCACUGUGGCUCCUGUAGGAUCCACUCCACUAAAUAACCAGGCUGAAAUACUGCAACAUUGCCUUCAUUCUCCCUGGGUGCCCAGAAUGCUUCUCUGCUAGUAGUAACUGCAACAUAACCAAGCUGCUCAACUCAGGAAAUGUGCCACCUGGAAAACACAGUGACUGGCAUGCCUUAGUGCUUUCCAUCCAUUUCAGCGAGUUUCUCUUCAUGCCAUUUUAAUGAAAUGCUGCGGACAACAGGGAGAGAUGACUGCCUGGGCAAGCACAGGAAAGUGUGAUAAGCAGUCAGUUUGGAUCACGACUACUCUAAGGAUGUGGUGGAACUUCACCGCUGGCUGCAGCUACUCUGGCAGCGGGCGCUGGUCCAGGCCGGGCCUUUGGUGCGGCCGGGCACAGUGCCACGGGUGGGGCAGCCUGCCACUCCUUGAGCCCAGCAAACUGCUCCUUGAGCCCAGCAAACUGCUCCUUGAGCCCAGCCUGCCACUCCUUGAGGCCGGCAUGCCGCUCCUUGGGCCCAGCUUGCCACUUCCUGGGCCUGCUGCCCGCUGGGCUGUGCUGGGCCAUGCUGGCUGUGCGAGGCUGCUUACACCAUGUGAACAGUUACUCUUAAUGGGGCUGUGCUCCUUGCCUCCUCGGUUCAGGUCUGGUUGGUCCUUUACUUUUUGGUAUUACAGUGUUUGCCUUCAGUGCAUGAUUUCUUUGAGCUUCAGUCAGAAACCCACAUGCAGCUAAAACACAGGCUUUAAACAGCUCUCUGCAGUCUUCUUUCAGAGUCAUCUAAGCUCAAAACACAGGUGGGAACGUGUCAUUAACACCCACCAAAACAAAAAAAAAAAAGAGAGAGAGAGAGAGAGAGAAAGAAAGAAAGAAAGGAAGAAAGGAAGAAAGGAAGAAAGGAAGAAAGGAAGAAAGGAAGAAAGAAAGAAAGAAAGAAAGAAAGAAAGAAAAGAAAGAAAAGAAGAAAAGAAAAGAAAAGAAAGAAAGAAAACUAAGAAAAAGAAAGAAAAGAGAAAGAAGAGAGAAGAAAGAAGAAAGACAAAAGAAAGAAAAAAGAAAGAAGAUAAGAAAGAAAGAAAGAAAGAAAGAAAGGAAGGAAGAAGAAA